GCAUGCGGCGCGGAAUUCGAUUCUUGGUCAUUUAGAGGAAGUAAAAGUCGUAACAAGGUCCCCGUUGGUGAACCAGCGGAGGGAUCAUUACCGAGUUUACAACUCCCAAACCCCUGUGAACAUACCUAUUUGUUGCCUCGGCGGUGCCUGUUCCGACAGCCCGCCAGAGGACCCCAAACCCUGAUUACAUUUAAGAAGUCUUCUGAGUAAACCGAUUAAAUAAAUCAAAACUUUCAACAACGGAUCUCUUGGUUCUGGCAUCGAUGAAGAACGCAGCGAAAUGCGAUAAGUAAUGUGAAUUGCAGAAUUCAGUGAAUCAUCGAAUCUUUGAACGCACAUUGCGCCCGCUAGUAUUCUGGCGGGCAUGCCUGUCCGAGCGUCAUUUCAACCCUCAAGCCCCCGGGCUUGGUGUUGGGGAUCGGCGAGCCUCCGCGCCCGCCGUCCCCUAAAUCUAGUGGCGGUCUCGCUGUAGCUUCCUCUGCGUAGUAGCACACCUCGCACUGGGAAACAGCGCGGCCACGCCGUUAAACCCCCAACUUCUGAACGUUUGACCUCGGAUCAGGUAGGAAUACCCGCUGAACUUAAGCAUAUCAAUAAGCGGAGGA
rnacentral:rRNA from 1 species